rnacentral:rRNA from 1 species
UACGUAGGCAGCGAGCGUUGUUCGGAGUUACUGGGCGUAAAGCGUGCGUAGGCGGUGUCUUAAGUUUGGUGUGAAAUCUCCCGGCUUAACCGGGAGGGUGCGCCGAAGACUGGGAUGCUUGAGUGCGGGAGAGGGAUGCGGAAUUCCAGGUGUAGCGGUGAAAUGCGUAGAUAUCUGGAGGAACACCGGUGGCGAAGGCGGCAUCCUGGACCAUUACUGACACUGAAUAGCGAAAGCCAGGGGAGCAAACGGG